rnacentral:rRNA from 1 species
ACGAACGCUGGCGGCUGCUUAACACAUGCAAGUCGAACGGAGUGGCGAACGGGUGAGUAACGCGUGAGCAACCUGCCUAUGACAGUGGGAUAGCCUCGGGAAACCGGGAUUAAUACCGCAUAGUCAUAGAUGGGGUCGCGUCUGAUUAGCUAGUUGGUGAGAUAACAGCCCACCAACGCGACGAUCAGUAGCCGGUCUGAGCGGAUGAACGGCCACGUUGGAACUGAGACACGGUCCAAACUCCUACGGGAGGCAGCAGUGGGGAAUAUUGGACGAGGGGGGAAACCCUGAGGCAGCGACGCCGCGUGAACGAAGAAGGUAUUCGUAUCGUAAAGUUCUGUCCUAUGGGAAGCAGAAGGAAAGAAGAAAGCUCCGGCUAAAUACGUGCCAGCAGCCGCGGUAAUUG